CCUACGGGAGGCAGCAGUUAGGAAUAUUGGGCAAUGGAGGAAACUCUGACCCAGCAACGCCGCGUGAAGGAAGAAGGUUUUCGGAUUGUAAACUUCUGAUCGGGGGGAAGAAGAAAAUGACGGUACCACAGGAGAAAGCAACGGCUAACGACGUGCCAGCAGCCGCGGUAAUACGUAGGUGGCGAGCGUUGGCCGGAAUAACUGGGCGUAAAGGGAGCGUAGGUGGGUAAUUAAGUUAGGGGUGAAAGCCCCGGGCGCAACUCUGGAAUUGCACGUCAAACGGGUUAACUAGAGUGCAGUAGGGGUGAGCGGAAUUUCUAGUGUAGCGGUGAAAUGCGUAGAUAUUAGGAAG
rnacentral:rRNA from 1 species